GUGUUUUAACUCAUCUACGGGUAUCCAUGUUUUAAACUUAAUUCUUUUUACUUUUUUGAAUGUGUUAAAUUUGAUAUUACUUUUUUGUAUCGUCCACCACCCUUUCCACAAAGUAAAAAUAUACGGUUGCGUGUCUGUGCAAAGACUACACGAUGCAUCAACUUGAGAGUUCCAUCUUAACCCGCUCUCCCGUUGCCAUACGUUCAUGGACUACAAUCCAUGUGAUGACAUAGAAUUACGGUAUAGCUGCUGAGAACGAGAUCGGAAGACCAUGGAACCUUUGCUGACCUAGAGUCGUGUUAAGUUCCAUGUCUGAUUCGAGUUAAAGACUGUUUUGAAACUAUCCCUUGUUCCCUUCCACAGGCUCAAGUCAGUCUAUGUAGUUAAAAGUCAUUAGUUAGCAGGCUCAGCAUUUUGUUGUUCUAAAUUAACCGUAAAGAGUAUAUUCUCGUGUUAACAGAGUUUUGCAGAGUGAGAAGAAAAUGGCACAGAUGCAGUGAGAAGAUGAUGAAUCCACCAGGGCGGAUAAUAAAGUUUUAGACGGAGGAGAAGAGGUCGGAUCUACUGGAGCUCAGGCGUCAUGACAUCCUUUUUUUUUCAUUUUUUUUCAUGACAUCAUAUUUACAGAAACUAAAAAAAAAUAUUGUGUUGAUUAAUUGAUGUAGCUGCACAUAAUGACGACACAAAUAAGACAAACCGACAAUGUUUUAGUCUUACGAUUCAAUUUCUUGACUCACAAGAAACUAACUAUUGGUUUCAAAUUAUAUGUUUAGUACCAGCCGAAUAAAGACAAGUACGAGUUUAUGUGAAUGAUCAAUUUUCGUUAAAGGCAUAUAAAGUCAUUAUAUCCAUAUGAAAGUUACGCCAUAGAUCUUAGUUUUUCUUAUUCCUCUGUUUUUAAUUACUUAAAACUACGUAACUUUACAUAUUUUACAGACGUUAAGUGUUUUUUAAUUAAAGUUAACAGUUGACUAUUGCUAAGUUAAAAUGGCUGAGUCAACAUAAGAACAAGAUUAAAAUGGCCAAUAUUCAAAAAUUGGAGAUUUAAAUUGCUCAUAUAUGAGUUGGAGCUUUUUUUGGCUUUUUUUUUAAAGUUCAGAGUUAUUUUGGUGAUUUUCCCGUAUAUUAAGUGAUAACAUGUUGAAUAAGUCCAAAAUUAAAUAUCACAUGGUAGAGUUCAAUUAGGACUCUAUUUUAAUAGAGUAGAUGGAUUCCAAGCAUCAAAGACAAAAGUUUGACGUUAACCACUUAUCUCGAACCAAAAAUUCAUUAUUUAACAGAUAAGUCCAUUGAGGUGCUAUAUACGCCUAAGCAGGUUUUGACACCUGCUCUCAUUACAGGAUUCGACGUUUCAUACUACUAUCUUGAGAUCUAUGGGAAGUGGUACUUGUCUAAGCUUGGUCAUAACCUGAAUAAAACUCAGACAUAUCUAAUGACUGUAUGGCAACAUCUUAGUCUAACUUUUGAAAAGGUUGAGAUUCACUAUUUACCUUGAAAGUUUUCAUAUUCCCAAAAAGAGACGUCCUAACUCUUAUCCUUUCUACUUGAAAGUUUUAUUUCAAACUAUUGUUCUUUUACUUGAUACUGAUAUCUGAGGAUCCUCCCCCUUGAUUUAACCGAAAUGGAUUCCAAGCAUCAAAGACGCAAGUGUAACGUUAACCACUUAUCUCGAACCAAAAUUUCAUUAUUUAACUGGUAAGUCCAUUGAGGUGUUAUAUUCGGCUAAGCAGGUUUUGACACCUGAUCUCAUUCAAAGAUUCGACGCUUCAUACUACUAUCUUGAUCAGGUUAAUAUAUGUUUCUACUCUCUUUAUUCAUUUGUAUGCUUCCCUUGAUUUCACAGAAUGGGAUUCCAAAAAGACGCAAGUGUAACGUUAACCACUUAUCUGGAACCAAAAUUUCGUUAUCUAACUGACAAGUCCAUUGAGGGGUUAUAUACGGCUAAGCAGGUUUUGACACCUGAUCUCAUUCAAGGAUUCGACGUUUCAAACUACUAUCUUGAGGUAAACCGAAUUAUGACCAUAGCGAAACUACAUCUAAAGAAGAAGGUACAAAUUUCCUUUGAGUCUUGUACAAAAAACGUAUGGCAUGGCUUCAAGAAGUUGGUUAACUUGGGAAGGAAGAAAAUAAGGAAAGUCACGCAGAGAGCAUUCAGCAGCGGCUAGGGUUUUCUAUAUUAACUUAGUGUGGAACUCGGAAUUGCAUCGACUUUUUCUUAUGAUUUUUCAAGACAUUUUAAAAUAUGAUCUUUAAUCAUAAGUCUCUGAAAAAGAAUCAUAUUUUCUCAAGACAUUAUUAAAGUAUGAUCUUUUACUUCA